CAGCAGCCGCGGGAAUACGAAGGGGGCUAGCGUUGUUCGGAUUUACUGGGCGUAAAGCGCACGUAGGCGGACUUUUAAGUCAGGGGUGAAAUCCCGGGGCUCAACCCCGGAACUGCCUUUGAUACUGGAAGUCUUGAGUAUGGUAGAGGUGAGUGGAAUUCCGAGUGUAGAGGUGAAAUUCGUAGAUAUUCGGAGGAACACCAGUGGCGAAGGCGGCUCACUGGACCAUUACUGACGCUGAGGUGCGAAAGCGUGGGGAGCAAACAGGAUUAGAUACCCGUGUAGUCCCUGUCUCUUAUAC
rnacentral:rRNA from 1 species